rnacentral:lncRNA from 1 species
CUGAGGCUGAGGCUGAGAAGGCUGGCAUAUGUGAUGUCUUCGGGGAUCGGAAGCUGUAAAGAAAGCUUUUAUGGUUCCCUGACUGAGGAUAAUCAACCCCUUCAUAAUUUAGAAUCCAAAGAUUGGAUCUUCUGAGAACAUCAGAGAAAGACUGCCCUUGCCAUCCACACUGCAACAAAACUUCAGAACCUUGAACCUUGGGUUCAUAAUCUCACAACAAAGAAGGGUCCCUCCAUGUUCUUGGAGCUGUACACCCAUUGGAACUCUUAAGACAUAUGGCCCUAAAGCACCUCAGAAGAAGCUGAAGGAAAUCAGCCUCCAUAGCUUUCAAGCCCCUGGACUCCUGGAGCCAGAAGUUAAUUCACACUCUGAUCUCAGAGAAGUUCAAGACCUUCAGCAGAACUUUUCCUGGCCAGGGCAUUUUUGCCCCUGAGAUAUGUCAUUAAACACUGUAACCAGGAACUUCUGUUCUUACCCCUGUCCUUCCCUUCACCUUUUAUAGUUACUAAAUGCAAUGUUUUAUUUUUC